ensembl:lincRNA
GGUGACGCGAAUCUGCAGCCAGCCGGACCCCGGCGAGCGAAGCGACGCCUGUCUCCCAGCUUGGGCCCCGAGUCCCUGCAGCAGGACCCAUGGCCGGAAGAGUCUGCUCCUGCUCGCUCUUUUGAGGAGUGCCCCAACCAAGUCUGCUCCCCCCGGUGCAAACGGAAAAGGACAGGGAAAAGGGCCGGGCCAGCCUGCACCGGGCCUCCUGGAGCCACAGCACCGCCAGGUGGUCCUCAGCACUGCAGCCAAAGCCUGGACUACGUCGGCCAAGCAGCCGGUGCAGCUGGACCCAAGCUGGACUCCAGCUCUGUGCCGCAUCCCUGUCGUCUCCACUGGCCUGGUCACCCCCGCCUAGCUUCUCUCCUCCCUCUCCCCCUCCCAUCGUUCCGCUCGCGCCGUCUCGCCCUCUAUGCCAACCCGGUGGUGCGGUUGCCUCCAGUGGACCCGCCUGAAAUCCUGGCUUGGAGCCAGGGACCCAGACCGGCUCACGCCCACUCCGCUCCCUCCCCCUCAGCCCCGCGUUUCUGAGAUGCAAUCGCCUACCCUGCCCCCGCCGCUUCCUCCUCGUUGGGCUCAGGCCCAGCUCCUGCCAAUGCUGCACCCUCCGCUGUUUGUGCCCAGCGAGGUCCGGUCCCAGCGCCGCCACUGCCGCCCAUUCUGGAAGGUCGCUCAGGCCCAGCCGCUGCCAAUGCUGCACCCACCGCUGUUUCUGACCAGCAAAGUUUGGUCCCAGCUCUCGCCACCGCCGAGUGCCACCGAACAUUCCUGAGCACCUGCGCUGCAUGUUCCUGAGCGCCUCUGCCACCUCCGAAUGGUCCCGAUCGUCACCAACUGCGGACGCCACUUCGGCCGUUGAAUAUUCCACAGCGUCAAGCGUCAAUGCCCCCCGGGACGCCAUAGACGAUGGAUGAUGCCAGAAGCGGAGGUGGAAUACAGCAAGUUCCGACAGUGCUGCUGAGGUCGGCCAACGCUCCCGCUGCUGCCAAACAACAUGCGAGAAGCCGGGAGAGAGCGCAGCAAAGAGCCCAGCCUGCCACCUUGCUGUCCCUGUGGCUUCUGGGCCAACCCAGUGGUGCAGCCGCCUCCAGGAGACCGGCCUGAAAUCCUGGCUCGGAGCCACGGACCCAAACCGGCUCAGCCCACUCUGCUCCCUCCUCCUCCCCCUCGCCCAGGCCAGCGUUUCCACUACCAACCGUUUAUGCUGCUGCUGCUGCCGCUGCUGCACAUUCCCGAGGGACCCUGCUACCGCCGCCGCAUGUUCCGGAGGGCGGCCCGCUGUUGCCCCAUGUUCAGGAGGGCCGCUGCCGCUGCACGGUCCAGAGGGCCACCGACAUCACCGCACCCGCACCGUCUGGAGGGCCACCGCCACCGCCGCACUUUCCGGAGGGCUGCUGUCGCCACCGCCGCCACCGCUGCCGCAAGUUCCUGAGGGCGGCAGCCGCAGCCGCCCCACAUUCCGGAGGGUGGCCGCCCCCGCAUAUCCGGGAGGGCCGUUGCCGCCGCCUCCACCGCCGCAAGUUCCGGAGGGCCGUCGCCGCCAUCGCUGCCACCGCCGCACGGUCCAGAGGGCCACCGCCACCGCCGCACUUUCUGGAGGGCUGCUGUCGCCCUGCCGCCACCGCUGCUGCAAGUUCCUGAGGAUCGCCCCCGCCGCCCCACGUUCCGGAGGGCUGCCGAUGCAGCUGCCCGAUUCCGAGUGCAGCCGGUACAGCGCCACCACACGUUUCGGAGGACAGCCGCCACCAUCGCACAUUCCGGACAGUUCGGGAAGUGCAGCUGAGGUCGGCCAACGCUCUCGCUGCUGCCAAACAACAUGCCAGACGCCAGGAGAGAGCAGCAAAGAGCCCAGCUUGCUGCCUUGCUGUCCCUGUGGCUUCUGAGGUAAGUGUCGGGCCAGGUUGGGGCGGGAGCU